AGGUUGGCUCAGAAGCAGCCAUCCUUUAAAGAGUGCGUAACAGCUCACUAGUCGAGUGACCCUGCGCCGAAAAUGUACCGGGGCUAAGCCUGAUACCGAAACUGCGGAUUGUAGGAAACUAUAGUGGUAGGGGAGCGUUGUAUACGAGUAGAAGCCGUACCGUGAGGAGCGGUGGAUUGUAUAGAAGUGAGAAUGCCGGUGUGAGUAGCGAGAUGUAGGUGAGAAUCCUACACACCGAAAGCCCAAGGAUUCCAGGGGAAGGUUCGUCCGCCCUGGGUAAGUCGGGACCUAAGGCGAGGCCGAAAGGCGUAGUGGAUGGAAAGCAGGCGAAAGAUUCCUGCACCCGUAUAUGGAGCGAAGGAGUGACGGAGACGGAUAGUGUGACCCUCUUAAUGGAUUGAGGGCGAAGCGAAGCGGCCGGUUACCAGGCAAAUCCGGUAACCUUAAGGCUAGAGCGUGACAGGUAAGCGAAAUCUUAGGAAAGUAGCGAAGCACAUGAUGACGGCUUCCAGGAAAAGCUUCUGGCAAUGCAUAUGCGGCCCGUACCAAAACCGACACAGGUGGGCAGGGAGAGAAUCCCGAGGUGAGCGAGAGAACUGUUGCCAAGGAACUCGGCAAAAUGACUCCGUAAGUUAGCGAGAAGGAGUGCUUAAGCAAUUAAGCCGCAGUGAAGAGGCCCAAGCGACUGUUUAACUAAAACACAGCUCUCUGCGAAGUCGCAAGACGAAGUAUAGGGGGUGACACCUGCCCGGUGCUGGAAGGUUAAGAGGAUCUGUUAAGAGCGAUCUGAAGCAGUGAUCCGAAGCCCCAGUGAACGGCGGCCGUAACUAUAACGGUCCUAAGGUAGCGAAAUUCCUUGUCAGGUAAGUUCUGACCCGCACGAAAGGUGUAACGAUUUGGGCGCUGUCUCGGCAGCAGACUCGGUGAAAUCUUAGUACCUGUGAAAAUGCAGGUUACCCGCAACUAGACGGAAAGACCCCAUGGAGCUUUACUGCAGCCUGAUAUUGAAUUCUGGUCAUACAUGUACAGGAUAGGUGGGAGACAAAGAGACGUGCACGCCAGUGUACGAGGAGUCGACGUUGGGAUACCACUCUUGUGUGACCGGGGUUCUAACCUGGUAUCGAGAACAGGUACGGGGAGAGUGUCAGGUGGGCAGUUUGACUGGGGCGGUCGCCUCCCAAAGAGUAACGGAGGCGCCCAAAGGUACGCUCAGAUUGGAUGGAAACCAAUCGUCGAGUGCAAUUGCAGAAGCGUGCUUGACUGUGAGACAAACAAGUCGAACAGGGACGAAAGUCGGGAAUAGUGAUCCGGCGGUGCCGAAUGGAAGGGCCGUCGCUCAACGGAUAAAAGCUACCCUGGGGAUAACAGGCUGAUCUCCCCCAAGAGUUCACAUCGACGGGGAGGUUUGGCACCUCGAUGUCGGCUCAUCGCAUCCUGGAGCGGAAGUACGUUCCAAGGGUUGGGCUGUUCGCCCAUUAAAGCGGUACGCGAGCUGGGUUCAGAACGUCGUGAGACAGUUCGGUCCCUAUCUGUUGUGGGCGAAGGAGAUCUGCGGAGAGCUGUCCUCAGUACGAGAGGACCGGGAUGGACCUACCGCUGGUGCACCGGUUGUUCCGCCAGGGGCAUAGCCGGGUAGCUAAGUAGGGAAAGGAUAAGCGCUGAAAGCAUCUAAGCACGAAGCCUACUCCAAGAUGAGAUCUCCCAUUCGCAAGAAGUAAGACCCCUUAAAGACGAUAAGGUAGAUAGGCCAGGGAUGGAAGUGCAGUGAUGUACGGAGUUGACUGGUACUAAUCGGUCGAGGACUUAAUCAG
rnacentral:rRNA from 1 species